CUGGGUAGUGUGUGUGGACAAGGGAUCUUGGCCUUGUAGAGGCCAGGGGCUUCUGGGUUGGACAUGGGACCCUUGUGAUGAAUGGGACAUGGAUGGCUUUGCAUUGGCUUUGGGUCUGGGCUUAAUGUUGACGUUCACAGAUAAGGCCAUACCAGUGUCCUCUGCUGUAUCUGAGGAGACCCACCAUAGGUCUGGUUCCACCCAAAGUCUGCCCCUUCAGGUCUGCAAUGACAUCGAUGAAUGCAACGAUGGCAACAAUGGUGGCUGUGACCCAAACUCCAUCUGCACCAACACUGUGGGCUCUUUCAAGUGUGGUCCCUGCCGCCUAGGUUUCCUGGGCAACCAGAGCCAGGGCUGCCUCCCAGCCCGGACCUGCCACAGCCCAGCCCACAGCCCCUGCCACAUCCAUGCUCACUGUCUCUUUGAACGCAAUGGUGCAGUGUCCUGCCAGGACAACUGCCUUUUGACACCCAACUCUGGGCAGGAAGAUGCUGAUAAUGAUGGUGUGGGGGACCAGUGUGAUGACGAUGCUGACGGGGAUGGGAUCAAGAAUGUUGAGGUGACUCCCAGACUGCCCUGCCCCUUGAAGCUCCUCUCCUCUCCUCCUGUCCUCUCAGUGCCUCACUUACCUCAUCUGGCAGCUCUCUAGGAAGGGUCCAAUACUCCAAAUCAGGGAGGCAAAAACCUCGUGUCCAGGACAAGGAGGCUGGGUGGGUGGGACUGUGCUGAGCAGUUUGUCCAUCACAAGGGUGUGAUCUUAGAAAAGGAUACAGAGACAAGGUAGGUGCAAGAUGACAAGUGAUUUAGGGGAGACCUGACCCUUCCCCUCCCACCCCUCU
rnacentral:sRNA from 1 species